AUAAAGAUCAAGUGAAAAACUGUUAAAGAGCUCUAAAAACUGAAAAGUGAGGCGAGCUUGUGGUCUGCUAGUUAAGGUGGCUAAUUCUCACAUGGCUUAUCACACAGUUGGAGUCCUGGAUCCAGAGCCUUGGGAAACACACUGGGCAGAAUGGUGUUGAAAACAUAAGGGUUGUUUUCGAACCCACACCUCAGCACUUCAGGGUAACUUGGAUAAGUUGCCUAACCUCUCUGGGCUUCCAUUUUCCCAUCUGUGAUGUAAGCAAGGCUUUCUCAACUGCUUCAAAUGGAAAACUUUGAAGUAAGUGAACUUAAAAGAAGAACUGAAAACUCGGCCUGAUGCCCCGAAGUCCCGUGGGCGGCUUUGCCCAAGUACCCACUCUGGGUGGAAUUCAUUAACGCAGGCUGUUCUCAGCGCCAGGGAGGACUCAGACGCCAGGGCUCCCCGACUUCCAGUCUGCUACCAGGGCCGGCGCCCCCACCCCGGCUGGGCUGGCUGCGCGCGGCUGGGGACCAACGGCCACCACGUGCUUGCUCCCUCAUUCUCAGGGUCUGGGCAGCCCCGCAGGGACCCAGCUCGGCGCGAAGCCUAUUGUGUAGCGGGCGAGGCCAGCAAAUGACAUCUGAGCCGCCUUUCAAGCAGCCGGCUGCUUUCAAACGGGACUUUGAAAGGGUGGGCUCCCCUGACUCCGCAUGGAGAACGGAAGCUCCGCGGGGAGGACGCGCCGGCACACACGUGCCUGCCUCUGUGGCUCUCGCCUGCGUUUGUGUGAGAAUAAAAGGAAGAAGACCGGCUGGUGGAGAGACCAGGGCCAGAGAGUAAGUUGCCCAAGACCUCAGCAAAUUUGUGACAGAGGUUCAGCUGGGCAGUGCAGAGUCCCUUUACUGCUGUGGACCAAAGAAACCAAGGAGCUAUUCCCUUAGACCCUGGAGACAUGAGUUCAAUUCUUGCUCUGUUAUUCGGAGC